GACGAACGCUGGCGGCGUGCCUAAUACAUGCAAGUGGGACGCAAGGAAACACACUGUGCUUGCACACCGUGUUUUCUUGAGUCGCGAACGGGUGAGUAACGCGUAGGUAACCUGCCUAUUAGCGGGGGAUAACUAUUGGAAACGAUAGCUAAUACCGCAUAAUAUUAAUUAUUGCAUGAUAAUUGAUUGAAAGCUGCAAGCGCAUCACUAGUAGAUGGACCUGCGUUGUAUUAGCUAGUUGGUAAGGUAAGAGCUUACCAAGGCGACGAUACAUAGCCGACCUGAGAGGGUGAUCGGCCACACUGGGACUGAGACACGGCCCAGACUCCUACGGGAGGCAGCAGUAGGGAAUCUUCGGCAAUGGACGAAAGUCUGACCGAGCAACGCCGCGUGAGUGAAGAAGGUUUUCGGAUCGUAAAGCUCUGUUGUAAGUCAAGAACGUGUGUGAGAGUGGAAAGUUCACACAGUGACGGUAGCUUACCAGAAAGGGACGGCUAACUACGUG
rnacentral:rRNA from 1 species